rnacentral:lncRNA from 1 species
AACAAUGGCUUUACUCGUCGCUCGUCGUAAGCCCAUGCGCUCUUGUGAUCUCUAGCACAGUCACAACCACUGUUGCAAAAGCCCGAGCUGCGCAAUUGGGUCUUGUGAUCCAGGGCGGUGCUGGCUGCCUCACGGCUCUCGCAAGGCUCAAGAUCCAGAAGGAGAAACUCCGGGAGGUAUCGAACAAGAAGGGCGAGAUCACUGUGACAUGCGAGGAUGGCGAUGGCAGCAGCGAGCAUGCGCGGCCAAGUCUCGAGCCCGACGAAGUUGCCAUGCUCACAUCGGCAGCUUGGAUUGGGAGAGAGUAUGUUGCGGCAGUCUCUUCUUGCAAUCUCUUCUUGCUCGUCACAAAGAUGCUCGUCACGGGGUUUGUGGUUGCUGGCUACAUUCCAGCGCUUGGGGCAGUGGCCCUCAUUGCAGAUCUUGGAGCUUGCACGGCGGUGGCUUUGAGAGGAUUUGUCACACUCUUGUUGGUCGAGGAGAAGGGAGCUUCUCGACGAGAUCUGGAAGAGCGGAAACAAGGUGAAUGGGACUUGAGGACUCCGUUGCUUUAGAAUUCUCCAAAUUGAAAGCAGAGUUAAGAAUAGUGUAUAUGUAUACAUAAAUUCAUAAAUAAAAAUGACAAUACUUUACCAAAUGAGCAUGGUAGUUUGUAACUUUUGGAAUACUCUUAAAUAAAUUGCUAUACUUUGCAUGUAGCAGUAGUGUUAUUCUUAUUUAUUAAUUUAAUUGAUUAAAUAAAGUUUAUAAUUAUAAGCAUGUUUGUAAUUUAUAAACAUAAGAUUAAUCUUAUUGCCAUUACAUGAUAAAAUAAAUAGAAUAUACUGGAAAGGUUUAAGAAAUUUUAUAAAUUAUAAACAAGUCAUCACAGGUUUGCUUAAGCAAACCAAAAAUUAAGCUAAUUACUUGUAGAGUUUAUGGCAUAUCGUGUUCUGUUUCCUAAGUGACGAUGUUUCUCUAGAACUUUGGCUGUGUAUUCUCCUCUAGAAUUUGGGAAAUCGUUCAUUCAUGGCUCUUGCACAAGUUGAUUUGCUGUUGCUGAUUAUCAAUGAGAAUGUGUUGAUCAUAUUUGCUUGUAAGUCUUCACCUGUGGUUUCCUUUUGAUUAAAUCUAUGCAUUGCAGCUUUUAGUGCUGUGUGCUUGAAAGACUACACCAAAGCAGGAGUUUUAGUUUCUUUGUUCUUGCUUGGAAACUGGAUCAUAGCUUGGUUUGAGGCGAAAAAAAAAGAUCACGUAAGAAUUCCCAACAUCUGCAUUUGAUUUUGCAUACUCUUGUCCAACAGAUCAACAUCUUCAAUGAUCUAGAAUCCGCAUCAUUUGUGAAAAUCACAAGCUCGUCUCAUACCAAGAUAGAAUCUCAUAAUAACAAAUCUUGGGAGACAGUCACAACAAUGGUCACCGAGGAAGCAAAGCUCUUGAAGCGAUCGCCGACUAUAGACUUCUUUGCAAAAUAUCAUACCCCAGGUAAAUUGCUCUACUAAAUCAUUGAUAUUAAAAAAAAAAAUUCACUAUUGUUUGUUCGUGCCUGUGCAGCCAUGAUCUUAGCUACAGCACUGGUCCCUCUGGUGCAGCAAUCGAAAACACUGGCUUUACUCGUCGCUCGUCGCAAGCCCAUGCGCUGUUGUGAUCUCUAGCACAGUCACAACCACCCGAGCUGCGCAAUUGGGUCUUGUGAUCCAGGGCGGUGCUGGCUACCUCACGGCUCUCGCAAGGCUCAAGAUCCAGAAGGAGAAACUCCGGGAGGUAUCGAGCAACAAGGGCGAGAUCACUGUGACAUGCGAGGAUGGCGAUGGCAGCAGCGACCAUGGGCGGCCAAGUCUCGAGCCCGACGAAGUUGCCCUCUUCUUGCUCGUCACAAAGAUGCUCGUCACGGGGUUUGUGGUCGCUGGCUACAUUCCAGCGCUUGGGGCAGUGGCCCUCAUUGCAGAUCUUGGAGCUUGCACGGCGGUGGCUUUGAGAGGAUUUGUCACACUCUUCUUGGUUGAGGAGAAGGGAACUUCUCGACGAGAUCUGGAAAAGCAGGAACAAGGUGAAUGGGAUUUGAGGACUCCGUUGCUUUAGAAUUCUCCAAGUGUUUGCCUUCAAAUUGAAAGCAACCAAAAGUGUGGUGAUGCUACAGUUAAGAAUAGAGCGUAUAUGCUGAAUACAUGUGUUUACAAA